UACGUAGGGUGCGAGCGUUGUCCGGAAUUAUUGGGCGUAAAGAGCUCGUAGGCGGUGUGUCGCGUCGGCCGUGAAAACCUGGGGCUCAACUCUAGGCGUGCGGUCGAUACGGGCAUCACUAGAGUUCGGCAGGGGAGACUGGAAUUCCUGGUGUAGCGGUGAAAUGCGCAGAUAUCAGGAAGAACACCUAUGGCGAAGGCAGCUCUCUGGGACGGUACUGACGCUGAGACGCGAAAGCGUGGGGAGCGAACAGG
rnacentral:rRNA from 1 species